GCCUACGUGGUGUAAUGAUCAGCACACUCGACGCGUAUUCAAAAGGUCCGUGGUUCGAGUCCCGGCGAGAGCA
rfam:Stegodyphus mimosarum contig107358, whole genome shotgun sequence.